rnacentral:misc_RNA from 1 species
UUAAGUUCAGCGCGUAUCCCUACCUGAUCCGAGGUCAACCUUUAAGAAGUGGGGGUUUUAGACCGUCGUCCGGGCGCCCUUUUCGUCCAGUACGUGCUCGGUAAAGAAGCUCAGUGUACCGGGGGUUCCACAGACCGCCGUCAUUGUCUUUAGGAGGGGCCGGGCAGCGCGCCCAGCCAGGCCGUCCAACACCAAGCACG